UUCCUUGGCUUGGAAUUCGACGAAAUCUUUGACACUAAAUGGCAGUAUCAAAUUAGAUAUAAUUAGUGAGUUAGUAUGGCAAUAUGGCAAUCCGUUUAAUUUUUAUUUUUGUCAGACAUUUCUAGAUUUGUUAAAAGCGAGAAGGGUGCUGUUUGCCUUCCUCGCUAGAUUAUACUUCUUGACAUCGUGGUUUUGGCGAUUUUCAGCAUUAAAUUUACUCAUACUUCAACGCUAUUCAAGAUACGCUAAUGAGAGAAAAACUAGAAGUGCCGUAUAGUACAUGGGUCAGGAAUGUAAUCGGAAUUUCAAUUCACCUUGGUAGGUUACUUAAUGUUGAUGGACUUCCAUUACAGCAGAACAAUUACAGCUAGUACUUGCAGCAGUUACAACACAUGAACAAAGUUGAAGUUUCCGUGAAAAAUGCACCAGCAGCCACAAAGUAGUGGGUUCACAAGGGCUGGCAGAUGUUUUGAUUUUGCCCUAAAUCUAAGGAAAUUGUCCUUCAAAAGGUAAUAUGUUUUGUGGGCACCACAUUUAAAAGAUCUUCAUCAGCAUUUCAGAAAUUUCUUCAUCUAAGCAAUCCCAGAUAUUGAUCUGCAUUGCAUCUACUGCCGUUGUAUUUUCACGUUUGUCAUAGCGUCUUCGCUGCAUCAAGGUUGGUUGCGCCGAUGAUUCUCGUUCAUGGUAAGACUGAAUGAUGGAUUUACUCGAUUAUCGUUCUUCUUUAGACAAUGUGUUUAUUCGAUGUAAAGAGUCAUUUCGAUGGUGCCGAUGAUUCAUGUUAAUGGUAAAACUAACGCUUCUUAGCUGAUUACCAUUCGUCAUUAGGCAAUGUGUUGUUUCUCACUCGUCAUUUAUUUCUCAAAAUCGCUUUUGGGCAGUAUGUCACAUGGAAAGCUUUUACAGGGAAAAUAGAUAAUCCGCUGUUUUCUCUGUGCUAUUUUCAGCGUGUUUCAUACUUCUUACAUUCAACCGUUUGAUUGUGGGGACUGGCACAAAAAACUAAUGUCGUUCUUUACUUUUCUUGUCACGUUUGUCGUUAAAUGGGUAUUAGCGCUAAGGGCACACAGGGAUACGCAAUACCGAAUCGUUAUUUCUUAUAUGAAAAUUACUGUUUCGUGAUUUUUAAUCAUAUUAUAUGGCCACCAUUUGAUUCCCUAGUAAUACGUUAAUUUCUUUAACCUUGUAAUUUUGUAUUUUCAUUUUUUAACCGGCGAGGCACAAAAAAAAAACUUGGUGCGUGCGUGUGGCUAUUCAUACGACAAACAGCUGGCAAGAGAUGGAAAGUACCAUUUUAAACAAAAACAUGUAAAAUCAGUUUAUCCUAAAACUACAGUUUGAUGUUGAUCAGGUUCGCUUGUAAAAAGACGCAGUUGACACUCUUUUGAAAUUUCCUUUCCAAAUCAUGUAUUUUCAUGAGAAUAUAUUGGUUUUUGAAUAAA